UGUUAUUCUUAGUAAGAAUUAUUUUUGUUCGGUCUGUAAGGAAAGAAUAAGUUUUAAACUUUUCGCCUUUGAUAUCUAACUUGAGCAACGAUAGUAAUAAAUCGUGGAUAUAACAUCCACACAGGAGGAUACACAUAUGCAAGAAGGUACAGUAAAAUGGUUUAACGCAGAAAAAGGUUUCGGUUUCAUCGAAAUCGAAGGUGGAGAAGAUGUAUUCGUACAUUUCUCAGCUAUCCAAGGCGAAGGAUUUAAAUCUUUAGACGAAGGUCAAAAAGUUACAUUUGACACUGAGCAAGGUCAACGUGGACUUCAAGCGACUAACGUUAACAAAGCGUAAUAGCUUUUGAUGAAGGGACUCUCUCAGGAGGGUCCUUUUUUU
rfam:Bacillus vietnamensis strain TCD-SED5 scaffold_3, whole genome shotgun sequence.